CCUUUUCCCUCCCUUCAACCCAAUAUCAGACAUCUUAUCCAAUUUAAUCAUGAGCAAUUUAAUCCAAACCAUUCCAAUACAUCCAACAGCCCAUCCCAGCCCACCUUACUUCGUGACCCGAUCCAGUCCAAAUAUUUUCCCCUAAAAGAGAACCUGAAUACGUCUCCAGAACAUCCCAAACAUCUCCUUCAAGCGGUGAUACACAGCGUCUUCAUAGCUUCUCCAAACGACAUCAGCCAUAGGAGCAAAUGACAACCCUCCAACGUUCCCAAAUUGACGGAAUUCACAUAGAAAGCAAAAGCAGAGAGGAGCAGUGAGCGUAAACUGCAAACUUUCUCUUAUUUCCUCAACGUUUCCCUCACUCGUACGAUUUUUCAGCAGCAAUGCGAGACACUUUCAUCUUUGCAAAAGCGAGAUAACUCCACAUCGCCUGCCCAGUACAAAGAAUAAAUCUUGUCCCUCCACCUCGCUGGGAAUUCGGUCAAAAUUUUAGAAUUGAAGGAAUAUUCGAUCUUUUGAUAGGAUUUGAAGCUUUGAAAAUUCAAAUUUUUGUGGGCCUGAAAAGGGGGUGGGGGCCCUUUUCUCACUUCGUUUUGAACCCUUACCCUCCCAUAUAUAAUUCUCUUCUCUUUUUUUUUUGUUCUGGGAGUUUUUUUUUGGGGGGUGAAGUUGAAGAUAUUAGUUUUUGAGAAAGAAACAGAGAGUUUGUUUAGUAAAGGAAAUUUUUUUUUGAGAGAAAAUUUUCUCGAGAAAGAAGACCAGCCGAAAUCCCAUACAAGAAGAGGAGGAACUUUCCGAAAGCUACUUAAUAUAUUAAGAACAAGUUUACUUGAUUGAAAUCCAUAGAAAUACUCUUGAAAUGGCUCACUCGAUUUCAGAAUUGGAGUAGAUACUUUGCUCGAACUUGGGUCUUCUUUUCACCAUUGGUUGUUCCGUUUGUGUGGAACUCGCUUCUUUCUUUGGCGCUCAUCGUUGUCUCUUUUUGUUGCAUCAAAAGGAAAGGAAAAAUCACUGCAAUGGACAAAGGUAAGAACAUCCAGAUGGAACUCACUGGAGAAGAGCUACAAAGAAAGAUUGAACGGAUCACUUCAAAAAUUAAGAAGCAAAGGAGGAAGGGCUCAGAAUCUACAUGGCCACCGCAAUUUACAAAGCUGCAACUGUGACUCUGGAUGAGGAUCUGACAUCAGAGAUGAAGAGAAAGAAAGAUGUUGAGAUGGACACAAAAGACUUGCGAGAGAAGUUGGACAAGUUUCGGGUGAAAGUGCAGGUAAUAGAAGUGAGAGAGGCGAGGAUAGAAUCGAAGACCGCCUCUCUGUUAGCUAACAGCAUGUUACUUCAUGAAGAGCUGACAAUGGAAAUGGAAUAACUCAUCUCUAUGAGAGAAUGGAUGGUUGUACUGAGGAAGAAGAACAAAGCCUUCCAUAGCAACAUGAUUGAUGAACUUCAGAAAAUGCGCGAAAAUUACCCCGUUUAUGAUUAAGGGGCUAAUAGUGGUCCCGAUAAUGCUCACCCUGAAGUGACUGGGGAUGACGACAACAAGGAAAUCGUCUACAGGCCUCCAUUCCUAGGACGUACGGAAGGAUGAGACUAAUGCUGCAACAAGAAUGGAAAUGAUGAAUGUGACGUCAUCAUUUUAUUGUUUAAAAGCUCUACUGUUGCCUUUCAUUUUCCUUGUAAUCGUAAUGAAUGAAUGAAUGAAAAUAUUUUAUCUUGUACUCGAA